rnacentral:rRNA from 1 species
CCUACGGGAGGCAGCAGUGGGGAAUAUUGCACAAUGGGGGAAACCCUGAUGCAGCGACGCCGCGUGAGUGAAGAAGUAUUUCGGUACGUAAAGCUCUAUCAGCAGGGAAGAAAAAAAGUCCUUUGGACUUUGGACGGUACCUGACCAAGAAGCCCCGGCUAACUACGUGCCAGCAGCCGCGGGAAUACGUAGGGGGCAAGCGUUAUCCGGAUUUACUGGGUUUAAAGGGUGCGUAGGUUGUUUUAACAGUUAGCGGUGAAAUACCGAUGGUCAACAUCGGGGCUGCCGCUAAUACUGUAGGACUAGAGAGCGGAUGCAGCAGGCGGAAUGUGUGGUGUAGCGGUGAAAUGCAUAGAUAUUACACAGAACACCGAUUGCGAAGGCAGCUUGCUAGGCCGGAUCUGACACUGAUGCACGAAAGCGUGGGGAUCGAACAGGAUUAGAUACCCCUGUAGUC